rnacentral:rRNA from 1 species
AUUGAACGCUGGCGGCAGGCCUAACACAUGCAAGUCGAGCGAGCGGCGGACGGGUGAGUAAUGUAUGGGGACUGCCCGAUAGAGGGGGAUAAGUACUGGAAACGGUGGCUAAUACCGCAUACUAUCGGAUAACCCAUAUGGGAUUAGCUAGGAGGUGGGGUAAAGGCUCACCUAGGCGACGAUCUCUUGCUGGUCUGAGAGGAGUAUCACCCACACUGGUACUGAGACACGGCCCAGACUCCUACGGAGGCAGCAGUUGGGAAUAUUGCACAAUGGGCGCAAGCCUUAUGCAGCCAUGCCGCGUGUAUGAAGAAGGCCUUAGGUUUGUAAAGUACUUUCAGCGGGGAGGCGUUACCCGCAGAAGAAGCACCGGCUAACUCCGUGCCAGCAGCCGCGGUAAUUC